CGGAACAUGGCGCCGACGAUCCCAAUUACGCUGUGUCAAUCGGUUGGCAGCCAAGCUGAAGUAUUCUAGAGGGAAUGCCGUCUACUGUUUGUAAAACUAAGAGCGUGAUUGUCGAAACUCUUUAUUGAAAAUGCUUUAGAAUAUAUUACAUGUAUAUUGCUUAAUUUUUUUGAAGUUUUCAACGCUGUUACAGGCAUGUGUUUGGCCAGCUAUGUGGGGCGGGUUGAGCGUGAACAAGGAAGUGCGGGGAUCUCGUGCACGCGCGCGCUGUUCUGUCGUUGCUGGCUCGUCGAAAAAAAAGUUGACCGGAAGCAGCAGGCAACCAUCUGUCUUUCUCUGACGAAGUCAGGCCGCCCCUUACCACGGUUUGGGGCUGAAAAUAGUGACAGUUAACACCGCCACGACCGUGGAGAAGUGCCGAAGUAAACGGUUUGUCUUGCAUCAGCAUCGUUUUCAUUGGCGCCAAUUUAAUUCGGUAUCGAGUCGGCGUUCCAACACCCUGACGGAGAACACUGGUGUUGCCAUGUAACUCAGACGACGCACAAGCAAUGCUACAAGGUCAGGAUCAAAGUUUUAAGUCACGUUGAGGCACGAAUAGUGGCGUUUCGCUCCGACAAUAGGACAAUAUACAGUAUAUAAACGAUGUCGAAGUUGAGGAGCUGAAGCCGAGGUCGCCAUUUUGUGGACAUAAUUGGCGUGCAGAAUGCUCGAAAUGACGGAAGCAAUUGUUUCAACCGGUUCAUUUGCAAUCCAUAACAUAAUGUGAACGACUUUGGCCCAAAUUGACAACGAUUUUUUAAAAGUAUGUUUCGCUACCCUCGUCAUAGUCAAUGACAACUGAAGCUGAAAGUGGUUUAAUUGGAAUUAUUUCGUUUGACGUGAAAAUCCCUUGAUGUCCUGGUUACGUCGCGUGCAUGGCGUGUUAAGUUUGUGUCGGAACUUGUUGCCAUCAGAGGCGAGGCAUCUGUUAGAUGAAAAGCCGCUUGUUGCUUAACAGCCCGUGGGAUCCCUCUGCAUCCAUCUCAACAUGAGCUCCAAAUGGGACCGUCAUCUGAUGCCAUAGGUUCUCCAGUGGACAGUUUCACCUAUUGCACGCACAAGACGGCAUUUUCUGGAGCUUCAACCUUUUGCGUCCAUCAGCAGUCUGUCGGCCCCCGGGGAAGGACUCAUGUAAUUGUGUUGGCAGACCAUCAACAACAUGGCGUCGGCGUUCUUCACAGGUAGGAAGACUUGUUCAAGUAAAUGACAUGAUGGCCUUCAUACAUGUAGCACAAUAACACAGGAUAAAUGAAUAGAUGACAAAAGAUAUGCAAUUCAUACACGAGUGCCAUGACUAAUGCUUUGGCUGUAAAGGUUGCUCUGGCUGUUACAGUACAAUGUUAGCCGGCCACAUGGAGGUCAUUAUACAGCGGGGAAAAUAAGUAUUGAACACGUCAACAUUUCUCUCAAAAAACAUAUUUCUAAUCAAGCUAUUGACAUGAAAUUUUCACCAGAUGUCGGCAUCAACCCAAGUAAUGCACACAUACAAAGAAUCCAAACAUUUAUGUUCAUAAAUUAAGUUAUGUGUAAUAAAGUGAAAUGGCACAGGGAAUAAGUAUUGAACACAUGAAGAAAAGGAGGGGUAAAAAGGUCUGGAAAGCCAAGAAAGCAGCUGGAGUUUGUCAGUAUUUAGAAGGUUAACCUGUCCCCUAUUAGUGCAAAGUAAUAUCAGCUGGUUUAGUCCUGAUUAAUGCCUUUUAAAAAGGUUUCUCACCAGCAAGGUGUUAGACAAGAAGCAUUGCAUGAUGGGUAAAAGCAAAGAGCUGUCCAAAGACCUACGCAGCCUUAUUGUUGCAAAACACACUGAAGGCAUUGGUUACAGGCGCAUUUCUAAACUUCUGAAAGUUCCAGUGAGUACCAUUGGGGCCAUCAUCCGGAAGUGGAAAGAACACGGCAUUACCAUAAACCAGCCACGGCCAGGUGCUCCUCGCAAGAUUUCAGACAGAGGAGUCAAAACAAUCAUCAGAAGGGUUCUCCAACAGCCCAGGACCACUCGUGGAGAGCUUCAGAAAGACCUGGAAUCAGCAGGUACCGUUGUUUCAAAGAAAACAAUAAGUAAUGCACUCAACCGCCAUGGCCUCCAUGCACGCACACCACGCAAGACUCCAUUUUUGAAGAGGAAGCAUGUUGAAGCUCGUUUGGAGUUUGCGACACAACAUUUGGAUAAACCCAUGACAUUCUGGGAGAACAUACUCUGGUCAGAUGAGACCAAAAUUGAACUCUUCGGAUGUCAUAAGACACAACAUGUUUGGAGGAAAAAUGGCACUGCACAUCACCCCCAAAACACCAUACCAACAGUCAAGUUUGGAGGUGGGAGCAUCAUGGCGUGGGGCUGUUUUUCCAGCAUGUGGUACUGGUAGACUUCAUAUCAUUGAAGGAAUAAUGACUGGAGAAAAGUAUCGAGACAUUCUUGAUCAGAAUCUGCUGUCAUCUGCCAGGCUGCUGAAGAUGAAAAGAGGGUGGAUCUUUCAGCAAGACAACGAUCCCAAGCACACAGCCAAGGUAACACUCAACUGGUUGAAGAAAAAGAAAAUAAAGCUGCUAGAAUGGCCCAGUCAAUCACCAGACUUGAAUCCAAUUGAAAAUCUUUGGAAAGAACUGAAGAUCCGGGUUCACAGAAGAGACCCCCGGAACCUUGAAGAUUUGAAGGCAGUUUGUGUGGAUGAAUGGGCCAAAAUCACACCUGAGCAAUGUAUUCGACUGGUUUCUCCAUACAGGAGGCGUCUUGAGGCUGUAAUCAACCAACAAAGGUUUUUGCACUAAGUAUUAAAUAAAUUUGUACUCUUUGUAAAAGCUUAAGGCUAAACCAACUGUAACACUUGUCUAUACGAGUGGAGCAUCUGUUGACAACAAUGGAAGUAUUAUUUUGCAAUAAUCUAGUCAUGUUAGUACUUACAAAUAAUGUCACACUUUGUAUAAGGAAUGUUUUCCAGUAUUUCCGGGUUACAAUCACUCCACUUGUUGUGUACUUUUUUGGACCUUUAAAUCCAUUUGUUUCUAUCUUUAUUUUCUCUAAAAUAGUAUUUAUAGUAUUUUAAAUGCAUGCAAGUGACAACUAUAUGGCGGAAUUUCCCAAGAAGAUUAGCAGUGCUUAAAAAAACACCGCUAGAUGGCGGAAAUUCCCAAGUAUAGUUGCAGUAAUUUUAAGUGCCCACCAGAUGGCGGAAUUUCACAGUUUAAGUUGCAGUAAUUUUAAGUGGCCACCAGAUGGCGGAAUUUCACAGUUUAAGUUGCAGUAAAUUUAAGUGGCCACCAGAUGGCGGAAUUUCACAAAUUAAGUUGCAGUAAAUUUAAGUGACCACCAGAUGGCGGAAUUUCACAGUUUAAGUUGCAGUAAUUUUAAGUGACCACCAGAUGGCGGAAUUUCACAGUUUAAGUUGCACUACUUUUAGGUGACCACUAGAUGGGGGAAUUUCACAGUUUAAGUUGCACUACUUUUAGGUGACCACUAGAUGGCGGAAUUUCCCAAGGUAAGUUGCAGUAAUUUUAAGUGACCACUAGAUGGCGGAAUUUCCCAAGGUAAGUUGCAGUAAUUUUAAGUGACCACCAGAUGGCGGAAUUUCACAGUUUAAGUUGCAGUAAUUUUAAGUGGCCACCAGAUGGCGGAAUUUCACAGUUUAAGUUGCAGUAAAUUUAAGUGGCCACCAGAUGGCGGAAUUUCACAAAUUAAGUUGCAGUAAAUUUAAGUGACUACCCGAUGGCGGAAUUUCACAGUUUAAGUUGCCGUAAUUUUAAGUGACCACCAGAUGGCGGAAUUUCACAGUUUAAGUUGCACUACUUUUAGGUGACCACUAGAUGGCGGAAUUUAACAGUUUAAGUUGCAGUAAAUUUAAGUGGCCACCAGAUGGCGGAAUUUCACAAAUUAAGUUGCAGUAAAUUUAAGUGACCACUAGAUGGCGGAAUUUCCCAAGGUAAGUUGCAGUAAUUUUAAGUGACCACUAGAUGGCGGAAUUUCCCAAGGUAAGUUGCAGUAAUUUUAAGUGACCACUAGAUAGUGGCAUAGGG